AGGCAGUUAGUUUAAAAAAAAACCUUUGAUUUCGGCUCAAAAACUUAUGGUUAAAAUCCAUAAUUGCCUA
rnacentral:tRNA from 1 species